GGUAUAUCGACUCAAUUGUUUAAUAAAUGUGUUGUGUUUUUUUUUCCUUUUAAAAUGUCCCUUCCAUGGUGGAAUGCAAGUACCUACAUAAGAUAAGUCUUACUUAACCUAUUCUGGAUACAGAAUGAAAAAAAAAAAAUACCAAAUGUGUUCAAUUUUAGGAACGUAACUAAGGCAAGCCAUGUUCAAUGAUUGUGUUACCAAGAAG